AGCAGUAGGGAAUCUUCCACAAUGGGCGCAAGCCUGAUGGAGCAACACCGCGUGAGUGAAGAAGGGUUUCGGCUCGUAAAGCUCUGUUGUUGGAGAAGAACGUGCGUGAGAGUAACUGUUCACGCAGUGACGGUAUCCAACCAGAAAGUCACGGCUAACUACGUGCCAGCAGCCGCGGUAAUACGUAGGUGGCAAGCGUUAUCCGGAUUUAUUGGGCGUAAAGCGAGCGCAGGCGGUUGCUUAGGUCUGAUGUGAAAGCCUUCGGCUUAACCGAAGAAGUGCAUCGGAAACCGGGCGACUUGAGUGCAGAAGAGGACGGUGGAACUCCAUGUGUAGCGGUGAAAU
rnacentral:rRNA from 1 species